UGAUGAGUUAAGCCUUUUUCAACUGAUUUUUAUAGUUCGUUCUUAUGUUGUACUGUUAUACCACUGUCCCAGGUUAGGGGGAGGGUUGGGAUCCCGCUAACAUAUUUAACCGCGCCACAUUAUUUAUUUAUGUGCCUGUCCCAAGUCAGGAGCCUGUAAUUCAGUGAUUGUCGUUUGUUUAUGUGUUACAUAUUUGUUUUUUCGUUCAUUUUUUUACAUAAAUAAGGCCGUUAGUUUUCUCGUUUGAAUUGUUUUACCUUGUCUUAUCGGGGCCUUUUAUAGCUGACUUUGCGGUAUGGUCUUUGCUCAUUGUUGAAGGCCGUACGGUGACCUAUAGUUGUUAAUGUCUGUGUCAUUUUGGUCUUUUGUGGAUAGUUGUCUCAUUAGCAAUCAUACCACAUCUUCUUUUUUAUAUAUUCA
rnacentral:lncRNA from 1 species